AACGGCCGCGGUAUCCUAACCGUGCAAAGGUAGCAUAAUCACUUGCCUAUUAAUUGUAGGCUAGAAUGAAUGGGUUAACGAAAUAAAGACUGUCUCAAUUAAUCACCUAAAAAUUACUAUCUAUCUGAAGAAGAAUAGAUAGUCUCGAAGGACAAGAAGACCCUAUAGAGCUUAAUUUUAAUUAUAGAGCUACACUAUAAAAAUAUUCGGUUGGGGCGACCCAGGGCUAAUCAAUCACCCACUACAUAAAAGAUAAAUUAAUCAAGUAAUUGACCCCUAAAAGAUCAUAAGAACAAGCUACCUUAGGGAUAACAGGCUAAUCCCACUCAAGAGUCCUUAUCAACAGUGGGGUUUGGCACCUCGAUGUUGGCUUAGG
rnacentral:rRNA from 1 species